CCUACGGGUGGCAGCAGUGAGGAAUAUUGGUCAAUGGGCGCGAGCCUGAACCAGCCAAGUCGCGUGAGGGAAGACGGUCCUAUGGAUUGUAAACCUCUUUUGUCGGGGAGCAAAAGACGCCACGCGUGGCGUUCCGCGAGUACCCGAAGAAAAAGCAUCGGCUAACUCCGUGCCAGCAGCCGCGGUAAUACGGAGGAUGCGAGCGUUAUCCGGAUUUAUUGGGUUUAAAGGGUGCGAAGGCGGAAGAUCAAGUCAGCGGUAAAAUUGAGAGGCUCACACUCGCUACGCCGUUGAAACUGGAGUUCUUGAGUGGGCGAGAGGUAUGCGGAAUGCGUGGUGUAGCGGUGAAAUGCAUAGAUAUCACGAAGAACUCCGAUUGCGAAGGCAGCAGACCGGCGUCCAACUGACGCUGAAGCACGAAAGCGUGGGUAUCGAACAGGAUUAGAUACCCUUGUAGUC
rnacentral:rRNA from 1 species